GCCCCGCCCCGCCCCGCCUCCCCGCGCCGUUGGCUGAGGCUUAGGGCUGCGACCCCCAGCACCCCUGCGAACGUGGCGCUGGAGAGUGGCGCUGCGAGUGGCGCGGAGCAUGUGUGCGGGCGCACCCUUCACGCGGCCCUGUCACCCGCCGCGCCCUGCCCGCCGAGGCCCUGGCAGCUGGGGGGUGGGCGCUGUUCGGACGCUGCGCGCGGGACCACCUCUGCUCUCGGUGCGUAAAUUCACAGAGAAACAUGAAUGGAUGGCAACAGAAAAUGAUAUUGGAACACUGGGAGUCAGCAGUUUUGCACAGGAAACGUUGGGAGAUAUUGUUUACUGUAGUCUGCCUGAAGUUGGGACAAAAGAACAAACAAGAUGAGUUUGGUGCUUUGGAAAGUGUGAAAGCUGCUAGUGAACUCUAUUCUCCUUUAUCAGGAGAAGUAACUUAAAUUAAUGAAGCUCUUGGAGAAAAUCCAGGACUUGUAAACAAAUCUUGUUAUGAAGAUGGUUGGCUGAUCAAGAUGACACUAAGUAACCCUUCAGAACUAGAUGAACUUAUGAGUGAAGAAGUAUAUGAGAGAUAGAGAAAAUCUAUUGAGGAGUGAAAAUGGAACCCCUAAAUAAACUAGUGUGAAAUAACCCAGCAGAGCUGUCUUAAAUUAGUGGUGGAUGGAAGACUUAGAAUAGCAACUUUCAGCAUUACCGAUGGGGGGGGGGAGGAAAAACUACUGUUAACACUGCUAAUGAAAGAAAAUGCCCUUUAACUUUCUAAUGAUUAUAGAUAAAGAUAAUACACGUCUUUUCCACAAUAUCCUAUGAUUUUUAGUCUAGGCUCUGGUAUUCAGAAUUCAUGAGAUUAUCCAUGGUAAAAACUGGUUAUAAAAAUUACAUAAUUCAAAGAUAAUGUUAUUCUUAAGCUUUAUAUAAUAUUGUAACUUGCAUAUAUCCAUACCUGGAUUUGGCCUGAAAUACUUAAUGAUCUUUCUAUUGGAAAUAACUGGGAGUGAAGAGGUUUUUGUUGCUUGUACAGUGUCAGAUGAGGAACAAUACUAUCUUAAUUUUGCAAUACACUGCAUUUGCUGAUGCUAUUUUUACACAGUGAAGCAACAGCUUUGCAGCAAAAUAAUAAAAUAUUUUUUUGUUAA
rnacentral:lncRNA from 1 species